rnacentral:rRNA from 1 species
GACGGAGGGUGCUAGCGUUGUUCGGAAUGACUGGGCGUAAAGGGCGCGUAGGCGGCUCGUGAAGUCGGGUGUGAAAGCCCCGGGCUCAACCCGGGAAGUGCACCCGAAACUGCAUGGCUCGAGUACCGGAGAGGUUGGUGGAAUUCUCGGUGUAGAGGUGAAAUUCGUAGAUAUCGAGAGGAACACCGGUGGCGAAGGCGGCCAACUGGACGAGUACUGACGCUGAGACACGAAAGCGUGGGGAGCAAACAGG